rnacentral:rRNA from 1 species
UACGUAGGGUGCGAGCGUUGUCCGGAAUUACUGGGCGUAAAGAGCUCGUAGGUGGUUUGUCGCGUUGUCCGUGAAAACUCACAACUCAAUUGUGGGCGUGCGGCCGAUACGGGCAGACUGGAGUACUGCAGGGGAGACUGGAAUUCCUGGUGUAGCGGUGAAAUGCGCAGAUAUCAGGAGGAACACCGGUGGCGAAGGCGGGUCUCUGGCCGACCUGACGCUGAGGCGCGAAGGCGUGGGGAGCGAACGGG